rnacentral:tRNA from 1 species
UGGGUUGUGGCUCAGUGGUAGAGCGCUUGCCUUGCACACAUGAGGCACUGGGUUCAAUCCCCAGCACUACAU